UGCUACCUUUGCACAGUUAGAAUACUGCGGCUAUUUAAAAUUUUCACUGAGCAAAUUAGACCUUUUAUAUUUUAUCAAAAAGACAUGUUUUUGUUAAACAGAAGGGAAGAGCACAGGUCGAAGUUCAGCUCGCCGAUCUCGCGGUUGUCGU
rnacentral:lncRNA from 1 species